rnacentral:rRNA from 1 species
AUUGAACGCUGGCGGCAUGCUUUACACAUGCAAGUCGAACGGCAGCGCGGGCUUCGGCCUGGCGGCGAGUGGCGAACGGGUGAGUAAUAUAUCGGAACGUACCCUAGAGUGGGGGAUAACCAGUCGAAAGAUUGGCUAAUACCGCAUACGAUCUCAGGAUGAAAGUGAGGGACCGCAAGGCCUCAUGCUCCUGGAGCGGCCGAUAUCUGAUUAGCUAGUUGGUGGGGUAAAGGCCCACCAAGGCGACGAUCAGUAGCUGGUCUGAGAGGACGAUCAGCCACACUGGGACUGAGACACGGCCCAGACUCCUACGGGAGGCAGCAGUGGGGAAUUUUGGACAAUGGGGGCAACCCUGAUCCAGCAAUGCCGCGUGAGUGAAGAAGGCCUUCGGGUUGUAAAGCUCUUUUGUCAGGGAAGAAAAGGCCUGGGCUAAUAUCCUGGGUUCAUGACGGUACCUGAAGAAUAAGCACCGGCUAACUACGUGCCAGCAGCCGCAGUAAUAC